CACAACCCCAUGGGGCACAUCACAUCCCCACGGGGCACACCACAACCCCACAGGGCACAUCACAACCCCACAGGGCACAUCACAACCCCAUGGGGCACACCACAACCCCACGGAGCACACCACAACCCCACGGGGCACACCACAACCCCACAGGACACACCACAUCCCCACGGGGCACAGCCCCAGCUGGCACAAGCCCUGGCUGCAGAGCACAGCGGGGCUGCUCCUUGCUGGCCCCCCAACCACUCCCCCCCCCAGAGCUGCCUGGUGGAGCAGAGGGGCCCAGCCGGCCUGCAGGAAGGGGCCCCGCGCUCCGGGCAGCAGCGCCGUCCCCUGCUCACACACGUGUGCACACACGUGUACACAAACACACGGAGCUCUGGGGGCUGUGUUGUGGUGGGGAGCUGUGCACGCUGGCACACACGCAGUGCCUUGCAUGUACCCGUGUGUGGAAGGCUCACACUUAGGGACAGGGGGUGAUGGAGCACACGCAGGUGACGCCUGGAUCACACUCAGCCCCACUGCGGCAGGCAGGCUGUGAGCACAGCCGUGGCAUGGAGGGAAACUGAGGCGCGGGCUGAGGGGGACAGGAGCCACUUCUGUUCUCUCUGAGUGACACUUCAGGGGACCAAGGCCAGGUUGGGGGCAGCGGGCGGCAUCAUGGAGGCCCACACCCCUACAUGGAGUCACCGUGGGGGGCUGCAUGCCCACAGCACUGCGACCACAAGCACCAGCUCUGCGCACACAGAACGGUGGGGUGCUGUGCCCACAUGAGCCACCAGACAGAACACAAGGCAUCAGAUGGGACCUGGACCGUGGCUGAGUCCCCAUGGCUCCGAGCCAGCCUGCCCUGUGGGGCUGUUCCCCAGAGCUGUGUCCCCAGUCCCUGUGGGGCCUCACACAUCCCUCACCCCACUGCUGCUUUGUCUGGCCCCGUCCCCGCAGCCCCACACAUGGCAGCGGGCUGGGGGGCCACAGUUGGGUGGGGGUCCCGUGGAGUGGGUGGGGGUCC
ensembl:lncRNA